rnacentral:rRNA from 1 species
GAUGAACGCUAGCGGCAGGCCUAAUACAUGCAAGUCGAACGGUGUCUUCGGACAUAGUGGCGCACGGGUGCGUAACACGUAUGCAACCUACCUUACAUUGGGGGAUAGCCUUCGAAAGGGAGAUUAAUACCGCAUAGGACAGUAGCUGGGCAUCCAGCAGCUGUUAAAGAUUUAUCGAUGUAAGCUGGGCAUGCGUCCAAUUAGCUAGUUGGUGAGGUAACGGCUCACCAAGGCAAUGAUUGGUAGGGGAACUGAGAGGUCAAUCCCCCACACUGGCACUGAGAUACGGGCCAGACUCCUACGGGAGGCAGCAGUAGGGAAUAUUGGGCAAUGGACGCAAGUCUGACCCAGCCAUGCCGCGUGCAGGAUGAAGGCGUUAUGCGUUGUAAACUGCUUUUAUACAGGAAGAAACGACUCUUGCGAGAGGCAUUGACGGUACUGUAUGAAUAAGCACCGGCUAACUCCGUGCCAGCCGCCGCAGUAAUAC